UACAUAGGCACCAAGCGUUGUCCGGAUUUAUUGGGCGUAAAGAGCUCGUAGGCGGUUCGGUAAGUCGGGUGUGAAAACUUUGGGCUCAACCCAAAGCCUGCAUCCGAUACUGCUGUGACUAGAGUUCGGUAGGGGAGCGGGGAAUUCCUAGUGUAGCGGUGAAAUGCGCAGAUAUUAGGAGGAACACCGGUGGCGAAGGCGCCGCUCUGGGCCGAUACUGACGCUGAGGAGCGAAAGCGUGGGUAGCAAACAGG
rnacentral:rRNA from 1 species